UUUGAUAAAAAAAAUACAAAACUAGUACCUUAUUUUUAUCUUAUAUAUUGAAAAUAAAAAAAAUAGUUUCGCGUUUUAAUAUAGUUUAAUUUAAUUAAUUAGAAUUAGUUUUUGCAUUGUGUAGUAUUUUUAUCUUUAUUAAAGAGAGUUAACUAAGGUUUUGGACCACAACUUUAAGAGUCUUAGAGCCCACUUUUAGGACCCCAUUCGGACUUGGCCCAAAAAAGAUAGGCCCAAUACCCAUUAAACCCUUCACCCUUAAAAAACCCUAACCUAGUAUUGGAAGUUUUCAGCCGCAAAAACAAAAAACAACCCCCUCCCCCUAUACAUGAGUUUCAUCUUCCUUACACCUAAGUAGAUGAACCCUAGACCUAACAAGGAACCUAACCAGCCAUUUCUGAUCUUGAGAGACAACGAUCGUCUGCCUGAAAAAACCAAGAUAAACUCUAAAUCUAGGAACCCAACAGUUUCUUCUUAACAAAGAACACCAAGAACCCUAGAAGAAUUCCUCAUCUCCUCCAUACCCUAAGCAACCAAGACCAGCUGUAGAACACUACAGUCCCCCUCGUCUCUGCUUCUUCUUCUUCACUUCACAGCCGGACAUCAUAAAAACCGCGCACGCAUAGAAGAAGCCAACACCUGUCCAUCAUCCUAUCUUCUCUAGUCAUCGCCGGUCCACGACAAGCGAAGCUUCGAUCUAAAAGAAUGAGGAGAAUAGUGAAUAAUUAGCUGCUACUUUAUUCUAUCUUCUAACAUCUUCAAAUACUCAAAUAUGCCACCAUGAACAAGGACACACAACCACAUGUUUGAUUGCUGCCACAAAACAGUCACUGCCUAUUAGACAUUUUUGUUUCUUCAUUUAGUUAUGAUUUUUGGUUUUCUGAGUGUGGGAAUGGAGUUAAGCCGAGGUUGACUAGAGUUUGUCGCCCAUUGGAGGUUCAAGUCGUGUCGUGCGUGUUCCUAUUCGUGGCUCUUGAAUUAUUCUGAUGUUGUACUUUGCAAUUGGAUCCAAUAGAUUUGAGGCGUUAUAUUUGCACCUUCCCGAUUAAUCAAAAGUUUUUGCACGUUAAGGUCCAAUUCUUCAAUCCUUUACUCAUUCUAGUGUUAAUUGUGUUUGGUGAUUUGAUUUUGUGACUUGUUAAAUAUGAUUUUGAAUGUGUCUGCUCGUAUGUCUACUUGAACUAACUGAGAGUGAAUUGGAAUCGCACGUCUAGUUAGUUGAAUCUUAUGCUUAAUUUGGAUUCGAAUAGUGGACUGUCAGUGGUUGGAUUUGUAUGUCUAUGAUUGUAUGUUUACUUAAUGAGCAGAAAAGUGACAGUAGUAUACAUUUGUUUAGAACAACAUUGUGUUUUGCCAAUCUCAUUAGCUGGUACAGUGAAACCCUUGUUUCUCUUUAAAUGUUAUUGCAAAAACAUAAUCAGAAUGCUUUUUCUUUCAGUAUUCUGUUAGUAGCAUGUUUAAGCCGUCAUCACAUGGGUAGGAGAAAUUUUCGGCGCGUAAGUAAAUUAUCACGACUAUGGGUACGGUUCCUGUUAUGUAGUUGCGAUACACAUUUUCCAAAAUUUGGGUGUACAUUUCAUGUGACCCGACUUCUACUUUCCAACAAGGUUAAAUAGAACGUGCCGUGAACCGCGGGUGCAUUUCAUAUAGUGUGGCUUACGAUGUGUUUUAAAUAACCUUGAAAUUUCCUGAAAUAUUAAAAGCGGCUAAAAAGUUAAAAGGGCACGUAAGUUUAAAAUGUGUAAUUAAAUCAGAUAUUUAGGCCAAUUAUUAAUAGUUAAGCGGUCAUGCUAGAACUACGGAACUCGGAAAUGCCUAACAGCUUCUCCCGGGUUAACAGAAUUCUUUACCCGAAUUUCUGUGUUUGCAGACCAUAAAUAAGAGUCAACUUCCUCGAUUCAGAAUUUUAAACCGGUGACUUCGGACACCAUAAAUUAUCCCAAGUGGUGACUCUGAAUUUGAAUAUAAAUAAUCCAGUUUCUAUUGUAACUUAAAUUGGAAAAAACUCCCUUAUACCCCCUUUCGGGGUAGAAAAAGGAGGUGUGACAGCUCUGGCGACUCUACUAGGGACAAGAACCCAGAAUCUCUAGUUCAGGGUUUAAGAAUUUGAGCUUAGAAUAAUUGUUAUAUUUGGCUUUUAUUUAUUAUCUGAUUUUUAUUACAUGCUUGGGCCUAAUGUGCUAAAUGCCACUUUUACUUCUUUGAUAUUAUUUGAACUGUAUAUAAACUGCUACGAAACCCUUCUCUUCUCAUCUUUGGGGAAGUGCACGCUGGAAUGACUUCUUUUUUGUUAGUGUCAUACCUUAAAUUAGAAAGAGGCUCGGACAAGUUACAAAGCCGGAUGGCCUUUUGGUUCCCGGUAUGUAGCCCCCCCUCGGCUCGAGUUGUCCGCUCGGGUGCACAAAUCUAGAACAAUAUACCCAGGUUUUAAACCUAGAAUAACUCAGCCUCAUGCCGGAUCCCUAGUAGGAACCCUUGAUUACAUCAUGUGCAUUUGACUUUGGAGACUCAACACAUGUGUUGGGUCCGUCUAGGAUAGGUGUACCCAAAAAUAAAAGACCAUCUUGAUACAUCUUAUGUUUUAUAUGUUACAUUCUUCAAGGGUAAAAGGGGUCACUUGGCAGACCAAUGUGGGUUGAGGGAACAUGAGAAAGAAAAGAGUGUGAAGUGUAAAAUAAAGCAAGGAGGGCCCAGUUAUAAUUUUCUUUCACGCUUUUUCAAGAAAAGACCAAAAAAAUAAAAAUAAAAAAAUCCAAAAAGAUUUUGUACUUUCCCAUUAUUCUUAUUUUUUUUUUUUAAAAAACAGAAAAAAGAGGAAAAAGAAAAUUCAAAAAAAGUUUACAUAUUUCAUCAUUUUUCAAAACAAAAGACAAAAAAAUAUUUUCUCUAAAUUAGUUGUAUUUUUUAAUUCUCGCCAGUAUCCAAUCUGCUCGAACUACGCAUACCUGAUUCUCGUCUUUUAGGGCGUGAUAUGUAGACAACCCACAUAGGGUCCGGUCUUCCUGCUAAAUCUUAAGUUCUUGGCUUUGCGGAGUCUUAGCCAAUCUUGCAUUUUUAGCCACUUUUAGCCACAUAGACUAAUUUUAUAAAAAUAGUCACAACCAUGUCUUGCAUGUGUCCAAGAGGAAGGGUUAUUGGCUCACAUAGUGUUCUAGGUCUUUAACAUUAUUUGGUCUUGAUUUUCUCAUACAGGUGUGGGUCUACUUAUCAGAGUUUGAGCAUGACAGACACCCCGGGACCAUCCAGUCAGGAGCGCUCAUUCAGGAGUUGCUUACGGAGAUUUUAUUUUUAUGUUUUGAGUCUCUUCUUCAUUUUAUGUUGUCUUUUACUUUCUAGUUUUGUACAGUAAUGUCGAGUGUUUUGUUAUUGUACUUUCUACUUUGUAUUUGAAAAAGUGUGUUGUAACUCAAAAAUCCAAAAAAAAAAAAAGGUUUUGCGUUUUAUAUUUUCGCUAGAAGUUUUCUUUAGAAUACUAAUUCUAGAAAUUAAAAAAAUUUCUUUUGAGGUGCUU
rnacentral:lncRNA from 1 species